rnacentral:lncRNA from 1 species
UUUCUCCUCCUCUUCUUAUCUUUUCCCCCUCCUUUCUCCUCCUCUCCCCUUUUCCCUUCUAUAAUUCUUCCCCUUGCAUCCUUCGUCAAUUUGGUAUUAGAGCUCAAUCCGUUUCCUUUGGCCAAAAUCCAAUCUCCGCUAACAGCUCCCACCACCCAAAAUUCAACCUUGAUUUGUAACAGAAAAAAAAAAAGAAAAAGGAAAAGGAAAAACAGUCAGCAGCAAACGUAUGAAAAAUAAUUCGGCCAGCAAAAAGGAGUCUGCUCCCGUUUUGUUCCCUUUAAGUUAGUGUUGUUUCCUGUUUUGGAGUUGACAGGUGGUUUCUUAGCACACUAGUUUCGUUAUAAGAUUAUGUUAGCCAGCAGUGCGUCUAUUUCUUUUGCCGUGUAUUAAAACAGGUAAAGCAUUUGGUCUCCUCUGGCUAUCCAUUUGUGAGAUUCGUUUGAAUUGGGCCUGAUUUACACUGUGUACCAACUAUGGUUGGUCUUGAAUCUCAUGAGGUAUAUUAAUUUUGCACGUUGAAAGCUUUACUUUUUAUUUUGGUGUUUUUGGUUGGUUAAACAUCAUAUUUCCAAUUUAAGAAAAAAAAUGUCAUAUCAUACCUUUUAACACCUACAACACAUCCCCAACUCUGUCUCAUAAUAGUGUGUGUUUUAUGUCUCCUUUUCAGUACAAUAAUCCUUCAUCUGGGCACUAUAAUUACACCGUUCAUUAUUCUUCUCCACACAUUACAUCACAACCCUGGGGCCUUAAUGGUCUUUUUGGACAUGACUCAUUUCUUGAUUGGCUCGAUAUUCUUGAAAUAUUCUUUGCCUAUCGCAAUUUGAGCGACUCACGAAAAAUUUAUCAUGCUAAUAUGUCAUUAUUCGGUUCUACUAUGACUUGUUGGAGAUCGUAUUUGCGUAACUAUCUAAAUCAAUGCACUGUCACUUUGUGGGAUGAAAUGAAAUGAAUCCUAGGUAAAAAAUAUGCUCCUAUGUAUUAUCGAAC